ACGAACGCUGGCGGCGUGCUUAACACCUGCAAGUCGAACGAAGAGCGAUGGAAGCUUGCUUCUAUCAAUCUUCGUGGCGAACGGGUGAGUAACGCGUAAUCAACCUGCCCUUCAGAGGGGGACAACAGUUGGAAACGACUGCUAAUACCGCAUACGAUCUAAUCUCGGCAUCGAGGAUGGAUGAAAGGUGGCCUCUACAUGUAAGCUAUCACUGAAGGAGGGGAUUGCGUCUGAUUAGCUAGUUGGAGGGGUAACGGCCCACCAAGGCGAUGAUCAGUAGCCGGUCUGAGAGGAUGAACGGCCACAUUGGGACUGAGACACGGCCCAGACUCCUACGGGAGGCAGCAGUGGGGAAUCUUCCGCAAUGGACGAAAGUCUGACGGAGCAACGCCGCGUGAGGGAUGACGGCCUUCGGGUUGUAAAGCUCUGUUAAUCGGGACGAAAGGCCUUCUUGCGAAUAGUGAGAAGGAUUGACGGUACCGGAAGAGAAAGCCACGGCUAACUACGUG
rnacentral:rRNA from 1 species